AUGCAUUCACAUAUAGAUAGCUUAUUUGCAUUGUGCAAAAAAAAUUGUAGUCUCAAUGAUGAUGCAUACAUGUCCACGAUGGGUGUUGGCUCCAACAAUUCGCAUUGGUCUCAAACCAAUGACAUGCAUCGAAACCAUGAGUUCGAGGUGGACGAGGAGGGUGAGGGCAUUGUCGACGCACCAAAAGGAAGAGCGGGCAAUUACAGCAACGCCGAUGACAUCUUACUAUGCAAUACUUGGUUGCAAGUGUCGAGGGAUCCAUCCGUUGGAGGUGAUCAAAGUAGAGAUGCUUAUUGGCUUCGGAUGAAGGAACACUUUGAUGUUCGCAACGUGAGUGGAAUUGACCGCUCCGGCCGAUCACUUAGGUCCCGGUGGUCGACAAUCAACUCGGAUUGUCAAAGGUGGAUGGCCUGUCAAAAGGCGGUUGACAAGUUGAACCCAAGUGGCACAAAUGAGGACGAUAGAGUAAGUGGCAUUUCAUACAUGUUCAUCAUACAUGUUCAUCUACUUGUUGUUGGUGCUAACUUGCUUUGUUUUCAUGUAGUUCAACAUUGCGCAAAACUUGUUCAAAGAAGAGGAGAGGGAAACCAAGAAGGGGAAGAUCAAGAAAGGAAGGGUAUUUGCUUUGCCUUAUUGCUAUGA
rnacentral:rRNA from 1 species